rnacentral:rRNA from 1 species
GAUAGGAUCACAUGUAUGGUAACGGAAGAAUCGGCAAACUGGAUCCGGUAACUUCGGGAAAUAGGAGUUGGUUCUGAAGGCUGAGUGCGACAGCCUGUGGCGUUAAAUUGGGGGGUUAUCGCAGGAUUACGGGCGUGGCCACUCGUUCGUGGAGUAGUCGCUUUUGAGCUGCAUGCUCGCGUUGCACAGCAAAAGCCAUUCAGAACUGGCACGGGAAGAAUUCCACUGUUCUAAAUUACAACAAAGCUUGUGAUGGCCCUGGCUGGUUUGACACAAUGUGAUUUCUGGUUCCCCGUGCUCUGAAUUGUCAUACGUGAAGAAAUUCAAGCAAUGCGCGGUAAAUCGGCCGGAGUAAUCUACUGACUCCUUCUAAAGGUAGAAAUUCCUCGUCAUCCUUAAUUAGUGACGCGCAUGAAGGAUUGACGAGAUGCCUCUGUCCCUGAUCUACUAUCAUAGGGCGAAACACAGCCCAAGGAAGGCUUGGAACACUAGCGGGGAAAGAAGACCCUUGAGGGCUUUGACUCUAGGUUUGCUCAUUGUAAGGCGAUAUUACCGGAGGUGGCAGCCAUAAGGUGGUGAGAGUCAGCCACUUACGGCUGGGGGUUGGCGUCGGCGUCGUCUGAGAUACCGACCACUCUUACUGUGCUUACUACAUGGAUCGGGUGGCAACAAGCGCGGCCCCACGGUCCGCGUACCGCCGGGCGCACUCCCCUCGCCUGGGGUGUAAGCGUGUCUGGAUUCGCCUGUAAUGCUGCAAUGCGGCCGUUGGUUCUAGCGUCCGCUUCACAUGUCGCUGUGUGGUGCCACGGGUGCGUGUGUCGUCGUAGGGGUAGCAAUCGACGCGCGUCGUCACCGGGCGGCGAUCCGCCGCCGUGGCGCAUAGGGUUCAAUCGCGUUGCGCACGUCGGUCCGUUCCCGCUGUUCUGUGCGCCCGUUCGAGUCGUUUGCGCCGAUCUGCCCUUCGCUUCUAUCUCCGGUUUCUGGUGUGCCGCUUGCUCGCAAAGCAUCUGAAAAAUCCCUCGGUCCACGUCACUGAAGUGCCAGGUGAGUUUGACUGGGGCGUGUACAUGCGUCCAAAACGUAUAACGGAGUGUCCAAAAGUCAGCUCAGAGUGAAGAAAACCACCCGUUGAGCAUACAGACAAAAGCUGUUUGAUCCUACCGUUCAGUACACUGCGCGGACAGCGAACAGCUGCCUACGAUCCUUCUUGUAUCAAUCGAUUUUUUUAGCAAGUAGUGUCAGAAAAGUUACCGACAGGGAUGAACCUUGUGGCCGCCAGCGUUCAUGGAGCGGAGCGUGGCUUUUUGAUCCUUCGAGUCGGCUCUUCCUAUCAUUGGUAAAGCAACUUUCCAAGCGUAGGAUUGUUCACCCUUUCAAGGAACGUAGCUGGGUUUAGACGCGUCGUUGAGACGUUAUUUUACCCCUACUGGUGUGCUUGUUGUCGCUAUCUUAACGGAAUUUCCUGUGCAUAACGAGAGAACCACAGGUACGGACCCUGGCUCAAUACUUCGGUUCGAACGACUAAUGUAAUGACCUACUCCGCUGAUUAUGCCUGAACGCUCUCUAAGUCUGUUAUCCAUAUUCGAGCUGAUAGCGCUUUCUUAUACCCAUUAGGUGUUCGUAAAGCUUAGAGGCCUAACAACCCUGCCGAGAACCGUCCGUGCUGUCCAAUUUGCACAUUGCGUCUCAUCCCCGCUUCACUAUCUAGGCCGAAGCAAAGGCGGGGUCGCGCUGGCACGUGUUAAGUCCCAUCACAUGUGGGUAAUCACUCGGUGGACGAGCUUUGCCCGACUGUGAUAAUCACUACGUUUCGACACCUUACACCGCCGCAAACGACGGCGACUACCAGGCUGGGCAGCUUCAAGAUUGUA